CCGGAGCUUGCUCCACCGGAAAAAGAGAAAUGGCGAACGGGUGAGUAACACGUGGGUAACCUGCCCAUCAGAAGGGGAUAACACUUGGAAACAGGUGCUAAUACCGUAUAACAAUCGAAACCGCAUGGUUUUGAUUUGAAAGGCGCUUUCGGGUGUCGCUGAUGGAUGGACCCGCGGUGCAUUAGCUAGUUGGUGAGGUAACGGCUCACCAAGGCCACGAUGCAUAGCCGACCUGAGAGGGUGAUCGGCCACAUUGGGACUGAGACACGGCCCAAACUCCUACGGGAGGCAGCAGUAGGGAAUCUUCGGCAAUGGACGAAAGUCUGACCGAGCAACGCCGCGUGAGUGAAGAAGGUUUUCGGAUCGUAAAACUCUGUUGUUAGAGAAGAACAAGGAUGAGAGUAACUGUUCAUCCCUUGACGGUAUCUAACCAGAAAGCCACGGCUAACUACGUGCCAGCAGCCGCGGUAAUACGUAGGUGGCAAGCGUUGUCCGGAUUUAUUGGGCGUAAAGCGAGCGCAGGCGGUUUCUUAAGUCUGAUGUGAAAGCCCCCGGCUCAACCGGGGAGGGUCAUUGGAAACUGGGAGACUUGAGUGCAGAAGAGGAGAGUGGAAUUCCAUGUGUAGCGGUGAAAUGCGUAGAUAUAUGGAGGAACACCAGUGGCGAA
rnacentral:rRNA from 1 species